UAGAGUUUGAUCCUGGCUCAGGACGAACGCUGGCGGCGUGCUUAACACAUGCAAGUCGAACGGUUCAGUCGUUGGUCGUCAGACGUCGGACGUCGGGGUGAAUGCAGUAAUGGAGGGUCAAAAGACCUGAUAGGAAUGCAUAAAAACCUCUGACGACUGCCGCCUGACGACUGACGACUUGGAUAGUGGCGGACGGGUGAGUAACGCGUGGAUAACCUGCCCUUGAGACUGGGAUAACGCCGGGAAACUGGUGCUAAUACCGGAUACGUUCCCCGAAUCGCAUGAUAUGGGGAAGAAAAGUGAAAACUGCUCAUGGAUGGAUCCGCGUCCCAUUAGCUAGUUGGUGGGGUAAAGGCCUACCAAGGCGACGAUGGGUAGCCGGCCUGAGAGGGUGGCCGGCCACACUGGGACUGAGACACGGCCCAGACUCCUACGGGAGGCAGCAGUGGGGAAUCUUCCGCAAUGGGCGAAAGCCUGACGGAGCAACGCCGCGUGAGUGACGAAGGCCCUUGGGUCGUAAAACUCUGUCUUCAGGGAAGAAAAAAAUGACGGUACCUGAGGAGGAAGCCCCGGCUAACUACGUGCUCAGCAGCCGCGGUAAAACGUAGGGGGCGAGCGAUGUCCGGAAUUACUGGAGCGUAAAGGGCGUGUAAGCGGUUCGCGAAAUCAGAAGUGAUGACUCGGGGCUCAACUCAGAGAUUGCUUUUGAGACCAGACGGCAUGAAUGCAGGAAAGGAAGGGGGAUUUCCNGAUGUCCCGUUGACAUGCGUAGAUAUUGGGAGGAACACUAUGGGCUAAUGCGGCUUUCUGGCCUGUCACUUGACGCUGAGGCUCGAAAGAGUGGGGAGCAAACAGGAUUA
rnacentral:rRNA from 1 species